UACGAAGGGGGCUAGCGUUGUUCGGAAUUACUGGGCGUAAAGCGCGCGCAGGCGGCCAUUCAAGUCAGGGGUGAAAGCCCAGAGCUCAACUCUGGAACUGCCUUUGAAACUGUAUGGCUUGAGUAUGAGAGAGGUGAGUGGAAUUUCCGGUGUAGCGGUGAAAUGCGUAGAUAUCGGAAGGAACACCUGUGGCGAAAGCGGCUCACUGGACCAUAACUGACGCUGAGGCGCGAAAGCUAGGGGAGCAAACAGG
rnacentral:rRNA from 1 species